ensembl:snRNA
GUGUUGUAUGAAAGGAGAGAAGGUUAGCACUCCCCUAGACAAGAAUGGAAGAGGCCCUCAGGCUAGACAACAUGCAUACGGUUAAGCCAUCUCCAUCUACUUCAGUGGCAUCUAACCAUCAUUUUUU